CCCGCCGACCACCUCCCCGGAACCCCCUCUCUCUAUCCCACCGAUUGGAGCCACCCAAAUCGGGCACUCCCGGAGAAAGCUUCGGCCUUUUUCCUCCAUGGCGGGCGGCGAUGCGGCAGAGGGAAGAUUGGGCGUCACCGGCGGAGGAGCAGGAGGUCCACGACGACGUUGGCGCCCCUGCAGCUGGUGGUGGUGACCGGGGUGGCUCCGCGCGGGCAGAUGAGUCCGGCCAUCGACCCUGGCCUUCACCGACGCCUCCGAUGGUGGGGGACAGAGAGGUGGUUGCCCGGGAUAAGAUGUGGCUCCUCGCACAACGGGAGCAACCAGUAGGAUCAGGCCUAGCUGGAAGGGAGAUGUCCUCGCAUCGACUCCCACAUUGGCAUCUCAAGGUUCCAGUUGGCAACGGAGGAGGCUGGAGAAGCAUGAGGUUGUUGUGGUGGAGGUCUCUAGUUGGUGUAGAUACAUGUUUAAGGUGAGCUUGUCUGGACGCGGCGGCGGUGUUUUUAUAUGUUUGGAAUGUUAAACCUGGAGGUCGAGUUGUUUGUAUUCUUUCCGAGCCCUGCCGCCAAGUUGAGCUGGAUCACCCGUCAGCUUCCCGACAAGGCCAUCCUCCAUCUGACUUGUCCGUGGAUGGAUGGCGCUGGACUUACUCGUCACCUCGAGUCGGAGUCUGACGCGAAUCAGAUUCAUCUAGGACACCGUGUUCAAAGUAUAAUGGAAUAGGAGAUGAAGGGUGUGAAGGUGGGGGUAUCGGGAGGCGGUGUCAGAGUGGAAGCAUGACGAGGAGAAAGCAUGGUGGUGAACACGAUCGGCAACAUCCUGAAGUGCAGCGUGGACGCACUCAGGUGGCUGAGAUUCGACUAGUAUAUACUGAUUACGGUUGUUCUAGAUUAAAUGCAGUAUGGAGCUUCCAUUUGUUCUUCUAGAAUUAAUGCAUGAAUUCGUUCUAGAUUAAAUGCAUGACUUGGUUCAGAUUGGUUGGACAUGAAUUUGCCAUGUUCCCUAGCAUUGAUUCUUGUUCAUGGACAGCAAUUUGAUCUUAUGUGAAGAUUGAGAUAGUUCUGAUGCAUAUUGCUUGAUCAUACUUGAACUGUUGGUGUACAAUAUCACCGCCUUAUUAUUUUGCAGUCUUUUCGAAAUAUAUGUAUUAUGUUUUGCUGAUCAUGCUCUGUUUUUUGUUCGAGGAUAACGAGGAGGACUGAACGACCGUGGUUGCCCCUUCUUCUUCGACUCCGUGUGUUUUAUGGGUAAGUUUCUAGCUCCUCUCUGUGAGUUCAAAGUCUUUUGUAGUUUUUAGUCCUCAAAUAUGCGUGAAGUUUGAAUUGCUUUCUUGGAUAUAGUGGUGGAUGCACUUGCUUCUGUCAAAUGAAGCUUGAAUUUAUGUCAGAUGUGCGUAUAUUUGGAUGUCAAAUGGGUUGGUCUUGCGUGACUUGCUCACUGUAUUUGCUGCUGUGUUGUGAAUGUGGAUGUCCGAGAAUUUAGAGGUGUCCAUGCUGAAUUUUUUCAUAUCCUGAUGUAGCUGAUUGAUUCAUUAGCUGAAGGCAACUGUGUUAUCAUGGUUGUUUGAGUAAAAUAAUUACUAGUGUCUUGUAUUCAGGAAGCUAGAGAGCCCCAGAAAGGUGUGUCAGUUUAGAAUGAGUUACGCCUCCAUAUACAUGCAAUAAGUUAUCUCCGUUUUGCUGUUACAAAUCGUACAGCCUGUGGAAGCAUGUAUUGAGAUGAUUGUUUCUCAGUAUACUUGUACAGGAUCGAUUGCAGUUUGUUGCAAAUGCACAGACUUGGUCCGCUGUUGUUUGUUUCAGUUUGCCUAGGUCCCUAGCUGUUUGUUUUAUAUAUGGUGUGCACCCGUUUGAAAGAUGCCGUGUUAUUUCAUUUCAGGUGAAGAAGAAGAAGAAGAGGAUGAAGAGUAAGAAUUGACCUGCUAGAUUCUACUUUAUGCAUUG